rnacentral:rRNA from 1 species
CCUACGUGAGGCAGCAGUAGGGAAUCUUCCACAAUGGACGAAAGCCUGAUGGAGCAACGCCGCGUGGGUGAAGAAGGUCUUCGGAUCGUAAAACCCUGUUGUUAGAGAAGAAAGAGCGUGAGAGUAACUGUUCACGUUUCGACGGUAUCUAACCAGAAAGCCACGGCUAACUACGUGCCAGCAGCCGCGGUAAUACGUAGGUGGCAAGCGUUAUCCGGAUUUAUUGGGCGUAAAGGGAACGCAGGCGGUCUUUUAAGUCUGAUGUGAAAGCCCUCGGCUUAACCGGAGUAGGUCAUUGGAAACUGGGAGACUUGAGUGCAGAAGAGGAGAGUGGAACUCCAUGUGUAGCGGUGAAAUGCGUAGAUAUAUGGAAGAACACCAGUGGCGAAAGCGGCUCUCUGGUCUGUAACUGACGCUGAGGUUCGAAAGCGUGGGUAGCAAACAGGAUUAGAUACCCUGGUAGUC